ACAUAAAUGAAACACAGACCAAAAAAAAUCAUUGUGUGUUAUAAUAGCUAUUAGCAGCAUGCUAUUGCUUUGUGUAUUCCCAUUGUGGAUAGAUAAAUUAUGGUUUUGCAAAUACUUGUUUUGAAAUGAAUACCUUAAGCAAAUAAUCAUUAUUAAUGAACACCCUUAAGACUUGUAUUCAUAUUUGCAUGAUCAGUACAAAUCUGUUCAGUAAUAGACACAAAAAUAAUGACUCUUUUUAAUGUAAUUUCCUACGGUAUUACAGAACAUGUCAGCACUUAAUACAAGUGUAUUUAUGAUUAUGCAAUGUAUCAUACUUCGCAUUUUAAAAAUUAAUAACAAAAAAGCUUUGGGGUAAAGAGAUUUGCAAUUAGACACAGUAAGCUGCUUGUUUGCUGUCUCAAUAGAUCCUCAGUACCACUAAAUCCAAAACAAAGUACUUAACAGAAAUUCGUGAUGCCUUAAGAAGUAAUCCAUUUAAGAUUUCUGUGGAUUGUAAAUAUAUCACAAUUUUGCUGUCUAUCUGUAAAACAGUAUACUCAUAGGAAACAACCUAGAGGCUUCCAUGUAUUCUUAAUGAGAUAAAAACCCGCAUCUAUAUUUACAUUGAAAUUGAAAAAAUAGAAAAUUGAAUAUUGAAUUCUUUGUCUUCUUCUGUCUGUUUAACCCACAAAUUCAUACUGUCUAUAAACAGCUGUAAAGCUUCAAAGAGUCAGUGCAUUAAAAAUAAAGAUCUGUAAGAGCUGCAAAAUACGUUUUUCCUCCAAGGGACUAAAAAAGCUGUGGCCUGACUGUGGUUCGUUUGAAUCAAUAGCAGAAUUAAACUUUAUUUCUAACAGCAUAGAAUGUCAUUGUAAAUAACUAGUGGCAUACGUAUGUUAGUAAAGGACCAUUUUAACAUCAGGAAAGAUCAGAUUUUUUCAUUACUUUGAAAAGUUUACCACAGGCUGGUUUUCGCUCUUUGCUUAUAUUUGCAUUAUCAUAAAUAUGAAAAAUAUUAUCAACCACUUUUAAAAUUGACAGAGGAGAGCAGCAAUUAAUUGUGUGGAGGUUUGUGUAACAGUUUUUUACUUUCUCGUUAACUGUAUAAAGAUUUAACAGGGAAAACACUUGGUCUCAUGAAUAUAGAGAUGGAUUAAUUAUCUAUUUUACAGGUAGUGAGGGGGAUGUUAAUGAUGCUGUGCAAAGUGCCUGCAAUUUUUGACCGUUAUCCGCCUGCCUGUUUUCUGUGUGGUUGUUUACUAUGCGGUCCACCACACAAGUGGUCUGUGAGUCAGCCAGUGAAUCAUAGAAUCAUAGAACAGUUUGGGUUGGAAGGGACCUUCAAAGCUCAUCUAGUCCAACUCCCCUGCAAUGAGCAGGGACAUCUGCAACUAGAUCGGGUUGUUCAGAGCCCUGUCCAGCCUGGCCUGGAAUGUCCCCAGGGAUGGGGCAUCUACCACAUCUCUGGGCAACCUGGGCCAGUCUCACCACCCUCAUUGUAAAAAUAUUUCUUCCUCAUGUCUAGCCUGAAUCUCCCCUCCUUUAGUUUAAAACCAUUACCUCUUGUCCCAUCACAACAGGCCCCACUAAAAAGUCUGUCCCCAUCUUUCUUAUAGGCCCCUUUUAAGUACUGAAAGGCUUCAAUAAGGUCUCCCUGGAGCCUUCUCUUCUCCGGGCUGAAAGAAGCCAGCACUAGUGAUGUGCACGCUCCUGUCCUUCCCAGGGGGUGAGGAAGCUUGUUCCUCAGGUGAUAAUAUUUGGCAGCAAUAGAGACUUAAGAUUUGCAUCUUAGGAUCACUUUUUCCUUCCCUUCUCUUUGUGUUUAUAGCUGAGUUAGUAAGUCAUGCUAUGAAACACAUCACUGAUUUUACCUGCCUUUAAAUAAGCAAAAUCUACCUUUUAGAUGGAGAAAGGAACUAAGCAUCUAAGACACAAUCAAAUAACAAAGCCCCUAAUAUAACAAAUAAACUCCCAUAGGGCCAGUAAUGGAGAUGUUUUAGCAUCAAGUGUCUUGAUGGGACAUCUGUGUGAUCAGGUAAUUUUUGCCACAGACUUUUUCAAGCUGGGAUAGCAUUAUGACCAGGAUGAUGCUGCUACUAUAGAAAUGAUAAAAAUGUAACAUUUUACUUAUCCUGUAAUGUGAAAUAGACGACCACAUUAUAGGUUAAAAUAGAUAUUUAAAUUUGACAGUGGAAGAAAUAAAAGGGCAUAGUUCGGGCAGGAAUUUUUUAUUGGAGGAGUAUGUGUGGGGGGUGGGUUUCAAGGCCUUUUUCUACAAGGUAAGAUCUUUGAUAUUUGACGCUUUUCUUGCUGGUACAAAACCAAAGAAGAGAGCACAAGCAGUCAGUUUUGCUUGUUAAGAGUAGUGGAUAUCAGUAACACCAGAGGAUUAAUUCUCUGUUUACAUUCUGCUGUGCAAACUUCAAGGAGCCCCCUAAUAGCUGAUAAGUUUUAUUUAACUCUUCAGAGAGCCAAACCAAAGAAAGAAAUGCAAGUCUAUCUAUCUCUGUCUUUUAAACAGGUACCUGCUCUAAUUGGCAAUACUUAGGCAAUUUUUAAAGUUUUCCUGAAGUUAACUAAUAUUUCUUGUUAAAAAAUCGCACUCCAGAUAGAAAAACAAAACCAGCAAAAAUACAGAAUAUAACUAAGCCCUUGCUGCAUUCUUGCAGCUUUCAGAGUGCAAAUGAAAAUCUGCAGCAGAUACAAGAGCACUAUUUUGUUAAACCAGUCUAAAGCUAGCAAAGGUUAUACCAGCCUCUGUGGCUAAUGGUGCAUAAAAGCAAUUGUUUUGAAAAUAACUGUGUUGGUUUAAAAUAUUACUGCCUCUCUCCCAGAGGAUACCACCCACGCAGCCGAGUCAGCAGACUGCAAACACACAUAAUUCUAAACUGCUUCAGGACAAGGUCCAGUGUUUAAAGCAUAAAAUGCCAGGCGGGGUGGGGGCAGCUUGAGUUAAGUUCUUUGAUUUUGCACUGGAACAGCUCAGGGACACUUGUGUCCCUUUCUGCCACCAGAGCUGGGUCAAGCUUCUUUGGCAGGUACAAAGAGCUGGGGGUGGUGGCGUCUCAAAUAGCCACAGCUGUCUUCUCAGUAUGUGUAUCUGAGCUCUGAGCACGGCUUUUACCUUGUCCCUUUGGGUACAGGUUCACAGCAUGUGGACAAAUGGUGACGUCUUAGCCACUAAGUCAAACAGCUAAUACACAGGUCCUGAGGAGCAGAUGUGCUGUGUGAGAAAUUUCAGAUUUAAUCCCAAAUUUUGUACACAAUGUAACCAAAUCUGAGUGGAACAUUAACCCCAUAUUUUCUGACUCAGUCUACUCUGGACAAUGAAAUUUUGGCCACACUGUGAUUAACUCUUAAGUAGUGGCAAUGAUGUGUCUCAAGGAGAAGGCUUUGUUUUUCUGAAACCAACUGUACUGCAUUUAUUUUCCCUUUAUAAGAAAGCUGUAAGAUGUAGUGGCAUCCUUGAUGGUUAAAUUAGACAAUAUGCUUCAAUGACUUAAACCAUUUCUCUUCCCAAGAUCUUUAAAAUUCUUCUGCUCUAAGCUGAUAUUGAUAUUACCAUUUGACCAAAGAAGCCCUUAGCAUGCUUUCUUUUUAAACAUACAAGCCACUUCCAGAGCAUUGUACAUCUUGAGAGAUACUUCCUAAUAUAAAGCUAUUUGUAAACCAGACUGGAAUGUUAUUUUAGGUAAGUCAGUGUAAAGCACCUACACACAGCAACAGCCUACUUUUGUUUUUAAUACUCACUGUGCUAUUGUUUUUAAAGCUUUGGAUUUUGGCUUGAAAUCCAGGCCACCCUGAAUUUAACAGCAAAACUUUCACUCAGUUUAAUCUGAUCUGGAUUUCAACAUAAAUGCCUAAUGUUGCUAAUGUGGGAUGUGGUAAACUUGAUCAUCGAGUUUUUUAUGGCCACAACAGAUGUUCCUUCGUUUAGACCAAUGGAAAGCUACUGAACCUCAUCCACCCUCUAAAACAAAAAUACAAGCAUUUGUUUACAACUUGAUUCCAGGAAUAUGAAUUGAAUUAGUAGCUGCAAAGUUUGUUCUUGUUUACUUACAAAUAAAUAUAUAUGCAAUUCUUGUUUUUCCCAAAGAACCACAAUGGUUUUUGGACUGUAUUUCCUCUACAUAGUAAUGUUUUUUUUUAACAGUUUAAUACUGCAUUAUAAUUCGUUUAGCACAAUCAAAACAUGAGUGUAGUAUUUUUGACCUUGCUUUUAAAAAAAUGCUUUUUUUUUUUCUUUCCUAAAUCUAGUAGACCAGAACAACAUGUUUUGGAUACAUGUUUUUCAUUUUGUAGACUUAUAAUUUAGAUUAAAUACAACACAAUAUUGUCAUAAUCAUAACCCAAGGCACAGACUACAGAAAAUGAAGAAACUAUAUACAAAUAUUUUCUUCCUACUGGUGACAUUCAAUGUUUUUUUUCAAAUGGGCAUAAAAUGUUAAAAGACUGGUGCCUUCUCUUAAAGUAGGAUAAAAAUAGUGGUAGUGUAAUAACUGUCAAAUGAAGUUUUCUAAUAUAAGGAGGAAGAAAAUUAUUGCUUGAUUUGAUAGGUACUAUCACAUCUCUGUGGUAAACACCUGAUAGUUCUUCAACACAAGAAAUGAACACAUGCUGAGGAGGAGACAGAACAGGAACAAGGCUAGGGAGGCAAGGACUUUGUAUAAAAGGAAUAGAAGGCUCAUUUAGCAUGUAUCUGUUGCUUAUGAAUAAAAAUACACUUUUUCCUCUGUCUUUCCUAAUUUGGUUUGAUUUCAGAAGCCAUAGAACUGUUUCAAUUGUGACAGAGAAAAAAAAUCUGGUGGCCUUGCUUAGUCUUCGGAGAUGUCUCAGUUGGAAAAGAAAACAGCAAGUUGGGAGCAGAUAACAUAAUCCCUAAAAGUAACUUAGCCUCUCUCCAUGAGUUGUAAAUUUUCCCUGGAUGAACCAGAACUAAGUUUGUCUCCCUUUCAGACACCUGCAUUCCCGUGCACUCUCUGCUCCUUCUUCAGCCCUUUGACUGAGCAGCUGGUUUGUUCAGAGGCAGCUGCCACAGCACAAUUUGCUCGCCAUUCCUGUGCCCGUUAGCUCAGGCUCAGCUGCGGUUCUGGGACUCGACACCCUCAGCUGUAAUGCCAAAGUGGCCUAAGCCAGUCCUAGACUAGAACCAGUCCAUGCGCUGGCCACUUUGGCUUUGCCUUUUGUGUCACAAUCACCCUGGACAUGUGGUGGCAUGUCCUCUGGAGUGGGCUAUGUUGGCUGCUCUCACCUGACCCCUUGCAGAGCCCCUUCAGUGGUCUGGCAGAAAACUAACUCAGCCAAAAAAUUGCAUUUUCAAAUCACAGGUUGCACCACACGGGGCAUUUUCUGCAUCAGAUGCAAAUGAGUAGAAACUGCACAAAAAGUACAGAAGAGGUAGGAGCAAAGAGGAAAAGUAGAAGAGCAGACUUCGAAAGCUGUAAAGAAAAUAAGUUUUAGGGAGACUGGGACAGGAGACAAGUGGAGCGCUGACCUGGGCUGGCUGGGCAAAGAACUGGGAUUGUCUUCAGCAAAGACUGAGCUGGGAGGGAGAGACUGGUGCCCAGUAGGGGCAGAGAAUACAUCCAGGAGGAGGGAGCUGGAUGGGAGAAUUAGGAUCCAUUAGGUGAGGAGGAUGGGACUGCAAACAUCAACUUGGAGUCUGGAAGGGCAAAGCAGUACUUUUUGGGUGAUGCUGAGAAGUGGAGACUAGAAAUGUGUGUAUGUGGUAAGAGGUGCUGUAACAAGCACCCCAGGUUGGAGCAAAUGCAAACUGGGAGGGUAUUAGUGGAAGGAGGUGAUGGCUGGAGGAGAGGCAAAAGAAUUCGUGGUCUGUGGAAGAUACUCCUCUUCUGCACAGAAAUGGAGCCCAAGAGUUCACAUCUGAUUCUCACCUUUUCCCCACCAUCAGCAAACAUCUAUGACUCCUAAUGCAGGGCUCCCCCUGUUGUACUCCUCCUCCUCACAAAACCAUGACCCACGACACUGCUCUUGCUUUGUUAGAGCAAAUGGACAAGGUCUCCACAGUAGAUUUAAUCCUCCUGAAGAAACAUGUGCAAGCCACUUAAAUGUCACAGUGUUCAUUUUUCCAGUUUGCAGACUUUAAAACUAUUGAAAGCACCCACCAUUGGGUGCAAAACUACUGAUCAGGCAUAUAAAGCUAUUCAGUGUACAGGAUGAAUCUGUGCUAAAAGUACAGCAGCCUGAGCAGGACCUCACAUUUUUGUUGAAGAAAUAUGAAACUAUAUAGUGAACAGUGGUGCCACAGAGAACCAGGUACUUCAGAAGAAAAAAUGUGUGGACUUUUUUCCCUCCUUCACUAAAACUUAAAGUGGGACCCAGCUCUUUUUACAAGUGCAAACAUGGUUGAGUUUGACGGAUGCCUAGAGUGGUUGUUCCUAAAGCACGCUGGCACUGUCCUCAGGAACACCCUGACUGCUGCUAAAGGCUUCCACUCCUAGAAAUCUCUUGGCAAGCAGACCUGAAUUACAUGACCUGUUUGCUGAGUAUGUGCCCCCUCAACUGCUGACAAAUCCCAGCUGCAUGUAUAAAGUAGCUGGAAUUUCAGUGCACAUUUUUGGGUGGAGGGUUUUAUUCUACUUGGAAGGAUUUGAGGGUGGAGGGACAGAACCAGCCACAACCACAACCACGUUCCUUGCCAGAGUGGGUCACAAGAGUAAAAAUAGCUCGUGACAAAUACAAGGCACAGGAGCCUGAACUCUGUUUGGAGUGAUCAAGAGUCAUGUAGGGUUUGGCUGUCACUUGGAAAAGGAUCACCUCAUCUUCUGCAUGAAAAGGAGAUCUGCAGUUCAAUAUGUCAAGGCACCAGGUGACAGAAAAGCUGUGGAGAAAGGACAUAGUUGACAAUCCAUUAUUAAAAUGAACAAAAAGUGAAUUUCUGGUCAUUCAAUUAAUACAAAAUUGUCAUUUUGUUGACUUGGUUAGAUAGGCAAGGUCCCUGCAUCUGGCCAGAGUCCCUGCUAUCUGGCUUGUAUCUAAUAAUAACUCUGGAUGAGUACUUCAUGCCCAUUCCAAUUACUGAUAAACCAUCAUUAGUGAUAUGUUCACAUGGGAUUUUAAACAAAUGCCAAGUUGCACAACAACUUCAGGAAAAAAUAAAGAAGUGCAUUUGAUCAUCACAAUUUCUUUUUGAAAGUCAGCAAAGCCACAGACGGUUACUGCGUGGACUCUUUCGGACAGCACUUGAGUGCCCACGUGCCAGGAGGCAGGCAGGCAGCAAGUCCAAGGCUUCUCAAGAGAUCUGAACCUUCUGCACAUGGACUAUGCCAAGGUGCAGCCUACGUGCUUUGCGUGCAGUGCUGUGGAUGGCAUCAGCUUUGCUGUGCAUGAGCAAAGUCCCCCUGCUGCCAGUCGCUGUGGGUCCAGGGCUGUGACUGGACGGGGCAUGUGCCCCACAGGUGCAGGAACAGGACGGGCAAAGGCGGUGGAAGUGGCUUAACACGAGUGGGGAGCACCUGGAGCCGCCACCACCCAGCCAGCUGCACUGUGCAGCUGCUCUCGCUGGGCUGCGAUUCAGAAAUGCCAAAUAAAGGUAAAGGAGAAAACAAAAUCCAUGCGGACAGGACUUCUAGUUUAAAAAAAAAAAAAAAGAGAGAUGUUGGAGAAAAUAGGUUUUUAAUUUCCAAGCGCUGCAAUUAUGGCAGAUAUUGAAUGCAGUUUCUGGGAAACGGCGCACGGAGCGCAGGCGACGCCUGAGUUUAGCUUGUUUUGAUGGUAAAUACAUGAGUGAGCAAGACGCGUGUUAAGUCAGCAGCAAAGCCCAGCCGCCGGGAGCAUGAAGCGCCACCGGGCGCGCCGCCGCAGCCGCAGCCGCAGCACGGCCUGAGGGAGGUCCCGCGGCGGGGCCCGCGCAGCCCUCUGGCGGCUCGGGCGGGACCAGGGGAGGCCCCUGUGUGCUCUGGGACGGGUAGUUCUGGCCGGGAGCCGCCGGCGGGCCGCGCCGGGGCGAAGGACUACGCUUCCCAGCAUGCCCCGCGGCGCCGAGGAGGCUAUAAAAGGGGCGAAGCGGCAGGCUCACCUCACACCCCGGCGGACAGGUACGGGCGGUCGGGCAGGUGUCGCUAGGGUCGCCCCGCCGCUCCCUCAUGAGGCCGCAGGACCUGCCGCAGGGCGGCCCCGCCGCCGCGCUGCCGGCGCUGGAAACGCUGAAGCAGCGGGCGUGCGAGAGCGUGGAGCUGAACGCGGCGCGGCUGGGCGCGCUGAGCCGCGACAUCUGGAGCCGGCCCGAGCUGGCGUACGAGGAGCGCCAGGCGCACGACACCAUGACCCGCUUCUUCUCCAGUGGGGAGCUGCCGGGCGCCGCCUGGGCCGUGCAGCCGCGCUACAAGCUGGACACGGCCUUCCGCGCCGACUGGGGCACGGCCGCCCCCCAGGGCGCCCGCCCGCUCCGCGUCGCCUUCCUCUGCGAGUACGAUGCUCUGCCCGGCAUCGGUCACGCUUGCGGGCACAACCUCAUUGCUGAGGCGGGAGCCGCAGCCGCCCUGGGGCUGAAGGCCGCCCUGGAGAGCCUGCCGCAGCCGGCGCCCGUCGGUGUCCAGGUCACGGUGCUGGGGACGCCCGCGGAGGAACAAGGGGGAGGCAAAAUCGACCUCAUAAACGCCGGAGCAUUUGACGGGCUGGACGUGGUUUUUAUGGCACACCCCUCGCAGGAAAACGCAGCCUACCUGCCCGAUGUGGCGGAGCACGAUGUGACUGUGAAAUACUAUGGAAAAGCUUCUCAUGCUGCUGCUUAUCCUUGGGAAGGAGUUAAUGCAUUAGAUGCUGCUGUUCUUGCAUACAACAAUCUGUCUGUUUUAAGACAGCAAAUGAAACCGACCUGGAGAGUUCAUGGUGUAAUAAAACAUGGUGGUGUGAAACCUAACAUCAUUCCUUCUUACACUGAACUUGAAUUUUACUUGCGUGCCCCUUCAGUGAAAGAUCUUGCUGUUCUAACAGAGAAGGUCGAGAACUGCUUCAGAUCUGCAGCACUAGCCACAGGAUGCAAAGUGGAAAUCAAAGGUGGUGAAAAUGACUACUACAAUGUGCUUCCAAAUAAGAUUCUGCAGAAAGUUUACAAGGAGAAUGGAAAGAAGCUUGGAAUAGAGUUUAUAUCAGAAGACAGUAUUUUGAAUGGUUUGUCAGGAUAUCAGUUUCUUCUGUUGAAAGGGAAGGAAGAUAGCUCAGUUGCUUCUCCAUGUCUGUGCAGCAGAAAAGUCGUUAACAGAUGAGCGUACUCGCUGCCACCUCUACAUGGGUAUUAGUAUCGGUCUGCUUACAGGUAUCGCUCUAGGCAGCUAAGCAUUACGGAGAAUUCUUUUAGUCUGUCCAGUCGCGCUGCCCUGUGUGUGCCUCGUGCACGCUCUGCUCGUUUGGCACGCAGCCGGGGUGGAGUGAAAUCAUGUGAAUCUGAGUUACCUUUGACCAGGUGCCAUGAGCUGUUUCUCCUGCUGGUAAGGGUAGCUCUGCUGCAGGAUAAGGAUCACCUCCCAAAGCAGAGGCCUUAGUUGAGGCACCCAUGCUUGUGAUAACUUACUCUAUUCUUAGCCUUCAUGGGGGUCACUGGCUUCUUGUGCACAAGACUGAUACAGAUGGUCUUAAGAAGGAGCCAGUGUGUUGAGAAAAUACUGCUUUUGAAGCUUGGACCUGUAUUUAGGUGCUUCUUGGAAUCUUCUGCAUUCUCCCUUCCAUUCGUGUUUGUUGUAAUACUGGCUUCUAUUAUGUGCAUAGUUACUCAAAAAGGCUCAGUAUCAGCUGCAGGAUAUAUUUUUGAGACUGGAGCUCCCAAUACCUUUUUGUUGACGAUAGUGGACACGGCUGUAUAUUGCACUGAUAACUGUGCAAUUAUGCUGCUAGAAAUUAUCCCAAUCUGUACAUCUCUAGUAAGCAUACAGUUCCUGAUGUUUGUAUGAAAACCACUGGAACACUGGGAGUUUUAAACAUUCCACUAGGUUAUCAUCACUAAAGGGCAUAACAUCUUUUCUUAAAGAGGGGAGAAUUUGACUGUCACAUUUUAAUUAACAGCUGCCUGAAUUUUGGCAUGGGAAGUUCUCCAUCUUACUAGAAAAUACCAAUUUUAAAUCCCUUAAUAUUCAGCAAAAAUAACUUGUAAGCUGGUAGUAGAUUGGAUAUGGAUAUAAAUUUAAAUGGAAUUAUAUGACUGAGAGCUGGGAUGCACUGAAAUUUCUAAUAUUUCAUUUUCUGAGUGAGAGCAGGGAAAAAGGCCAACACAGUCUUUCCAGCAGUUUGUGUAUUAGUGCUUGGUAGGACAAGUCUAGAACUUUUGGUUUAGUCUGAAGUAGACAGAACUUCUAGACUUCUAGUUUGUCUUUCCAGACUGACAAAAGAACAGAUUGAUAGUAUAGACUACUGAAAACUGAAAUAAUGUGUUGCUGUGCCACGAGUUGGAUUUUCUUCAAAUGCAUACUAAAUUCAUGGGAAAAAACUUUUAUUUGGACAACCCUUGCUGCUUCUGUUUGUCUGUAGGCAGAGCAAAUAGCAAGCUAGUCUUGUCCUCUUUGAGCACAUAAUGUAGACUCUGUUGACUCACUUUUAAUAACUCUGUGCUUUCAAGUAAAAUCUAUAUUCUCCAAUCAUUUAAGUCUUAAGGCAUUAGCAGUGUCUCUUCUGGAAGUAUUAUGAUAUGGAGGACACCUGAUGUGUUACAAAUAAUAUACAAUCUUUGGAACAGUCAUUUUUAUAUGCCAUUGCUAAGCAAAUAAACUUGCAGUUCUGAUCAGCUUGAAAGAAAGUUAAUUGAUAUCUUAGUUUGUCAAUCCCUAUUUUUCCCACUAUGAAACAAUGUGUUCCGUAGUAUCUGAAUUUCACAAUAACUGAUGUGUUGGUUUCUCCAGCUUCUAAAUGUCAUUUUAAUAAAUACUGAGUAGAUUGCUUGUUUGGUGGGGGGAGAGAGGGGAGUGGCAAUCAGGAAGUAGUUGCAAACUCUUGGAUGAUUUACUGUGAAGGAUCUACUACUUCUGAAUGGUAUCAUUAAAUAGAUAAGGCUAUACUUUGAGAUACUGUCACUAACACACUGAAGGAGCUAGUCAGGCAUGAAAGAAUCAUCAUUAAAAUUUGCAGCAUUGCUAUUGAGAAUUUUUUUGUGUCUACAGAGGACUGGUGUUUUGUCUGGAGUUUAGUUCUGAUCUUAUUUCAAGAGUGCUUGUGCUGUUAAUGUUUUUGUAACUCAAAAAUAGUCGUCCUUGGUCUGUUUUUGUUCAAAGAUUGUUCCUACUUCAGAGUCCCCUGCCUAACGCGGAAUAUUUGCAUACUGGUAAAAAGUGGAAAUUGUUUGGCCUGGUUCUAAGGGCUGUAACAGGAAAAUAGUUGGACUGUUUGCAACUCCAAGAUUUGCUGCUUUCAUUGGUUCUGAAUUAACACCUUACUAUCAGGAGAUGCUUGAUAAAAAAAAUAGCAUGUUUCUAUUCCAUUUACUGUUGAUAUAUCUUCUUGCCAUCCAGUAACUGAUUAUUGAUCAGAAGGGCACUGGAGAGCAGCCUCUGAAGAUGGCUAGUUAGGGAAAACAUCUUGGCGAUGGGUUAUUUCUGUAUGGGUAAUGACUCAUUAGUAAUGGUUUUAUUUCGGUAUUUGGGGCAAAGGAUAUUCUGUUUUAGAUACGGGCUGGAGAUAGUAUCUAUCAUACACUUUCUUACAGCAUUCAAAACUCUUCAACACUUGUUCAUUAAGAAAACUUCUGUGUUGCUUCUAGGUUCCACAGACUUUGGAAAUGUUACAUUUGUAGUCCCUGGGAUUCAUCCAUAUUUUUAUAUUGGUUCUGAUGCAUUGAAUCAUACUGAGCAGUACACAGAAGCUGCAGGGUCACAGAAUGCUCAGUUCUACACUUUGCGCACAGCAAAAGCUUUGGCAAUGACAGCACUGGAUGUCAUUUUCAAGCCAGGUCUGCUAGAAGAAGUCAGGGAAGACUUCAGACAGGUGAAGCUAAAAGAAGAGGGGCA